UGUGUGGAGCCAGCAGUUGGGCUCAAGAUCCUUUCCUCAAUGAUUCUUAUGAGGAGCAGCUGAAGGAACUGGGAUUGUUUAGUCUGUAGGAGGCUCAGGGUAGACCUUACUGCACUCUACAACUACCUGAAAGGGGACUGGAGUGAGCUUUAAUGGUUCUGUGACCCUUGUGGGUCCCUUCCAACUCAGGAUAUUCUGAUUCCAUCCAUGAUCUGAUGGGAGCUGGCAGGGCAGAGAAAGAUCAUCAAAUGGGAGAAAUCCAUGCAGUUGAUUUAUUAACGCCGAGACAGAAAGAGCCUGAAAGAUCGCGGUGCCGAGGAGCGGUGACGGCACUGACUGCGGUCAGAGCUUGGGGACACGCUUCCCACCGCAUGCCACCAACGUCCUUUCACACGGAACCAGCCAACGCCGUUCUCGGGGAAGGGAAAAACAAUCACGGCGUGCCCUCACCGCCGCGGAC